UCCCUUGAGGACUAGUUGUUAGGCCACAGCGCACUUGCUGCUGCAGCCCGGGUUCAAUUCCCAGCCAGGGAA
rnacentral:tRNA from 1 species